UGUACUCUUGAGGAGUGGCUUUCGGAGCUAACGCGUUAAAUCGACCGCCUGGGGAGUACGGCCGCAAGGUUAAAACUCAAAUGAAUUGACGGGGGCCCGCACAAGCGGUGGAGCAUGUGGUUUAAUUCGAUGCAACGCGAAGAACCUUACCUACUCUUGACAUCCAGAGAACUUAGCAGAGAUGCUUUGGUGCCUUCGGGAACUCUGAGACAGGUGCUGCAUGGCUGUCGUCAGCUCGUGUUGUGAAAUGUUGGGUUAAGUCCCGCAACGAGCGCAACCCUUAUCCUUUGUUGCCAGCGAUACGGUCGGGAACUCAAAGGAGACUGCCGGUGAUAAACCGGAGGAAGGUGGGGAUGACGUCAAGUCAUCAUGGCCCUUACGAGUAGGGCUACACACGUGCUACAAUGGCGUAUACAAAGAGAAGCGACCUCGCGAGAGCAAGCGGAACUCAUAAAGUACGUCGUAGUCCGGAUUGGAGUCUGCAACUCGACUCCAUGAAGUCGGAAUCGCUAGUAAUCGUAGAUCAGAAUGCUACGGUGAAUACGUUCCCGGGCCUUGUACACACCGCCCGUCACACCAUGGGAGUGGGUUGCAAAAGAAGUAGGUAGCUUAACCUUCGGGAGGGCGCUUACCACUUUGUGAUUCAUGACUGGGGUGAAGUCGUA
rnacentral:rRNA from 1 species